CUGAUUCCUUGACCUUGUGACUAAUCUGUCAAUGGCAGGAUUUGAGUCUGAUUGCAGAUAGCACUUUGUGGCAGUGAUGUCCUAAGAGAGGAUGUUUUUCAUUGAUUUACAUGUGCAGGUAAUAGAUACACUCGUGAUUUUUUUUUCUGUUUUGUUUUGCAGGAGUAGUUGAAUGCAUGGCAGCCGGGACAAUCAUUCUCGCCCACAAUUCAGGAGGUCCUAAGAUGGACAUUGUGAAACCUUUUGAAGGCCAAAAAACUGGGUUCUUGGCAGAUAGUGAGGACAGCUAUGCUUCGGUUAUGGACCAAAUCCUGUCCCUGUCUCCAGAAGAAAGACUGACAAUAAGACAAAAUGCUCGCCGUUCUGUCACCAGAUUCUCAGACAGCGAGUUUGAAACAAAUUUUCUGUCUGCUGCAGAGCAUCUGUUUAAAUAACUGACUAGAGGUUGUUGGGUUUUGUGUAUAUAUUGCAAAAACAAAUGGAGUAAAAUAUUUUUGUUACUGGACUCAUGGUAAUUCUAGUGUAUAAAUUAAUCAUUUGUAAAUACUGUAUGUAACAGCCAAGGCUAUUAUAAAUGAAUCUGCUAGAAUGUUACAGAAGUGCAAUACUGAUAAAAAUGCCAGAAUGUUGUGAAAAGCAAACUUUUUUUUUUUUUCCGCAAACUUUUGUGUAAAAGAGCAUUUCAGCUUUAGAUGUUUAUACGAUGCAGUAACAUUGGAAACCAGUGGAAUGUUCCUGCUAAUUCAGUAAUUUGCUCACGAAUUGCAGUAUGUCUGUAAAACCUAUAUUCUACAUUGUACAGUAAUACGAUAUAUUUAACUGCUAACCAAACCUAAAAAUAUAAGUUUGAGACUUUACAAUCAUAUCCAUUUACUUGAAUGUUUAACUUUGGAUGGUUUAUAAGAGUUAACCCAAGGUAUUACUGUGCUUAUUACACCAAUUAUAGGGUUAGUGUAACCUCUGUAGUGGUGUCAAUGGGUGAUCGUGCCUGGAUUCUGUAUAUGCAGUAUUUUGCUAUGAAAUGAUGCCCAUACAAAGUUUAACCAUUUUUGUUGCUGGGUGAGUUAUUCAAACACCAGCAGCAUCACUGGGGAGUAGUCAUCCAGUACCGAACAAGCUGGCUAAUAUCCGUUCUGUGCAUAUUGAAUGUCUGGGGACAGAAUAAGGAAGUGUUACUCUAAUAAUAGCAAUAUUUUAUAGAAAACACAGUUUUUUAUGUUAGAGUAACCCUUUAUUGGUACUCAUUAUGGGUGUUGGUAGGAAGAAAGUCCAAACUCUGUGAACAAGUACAAUACCUACUACAACUGUAGGUGACACACAAAAAGGGUUAUUUACUAAAAUUAAGAAUUCUAUGGGAAUUCAAAGUGAAGGAUAAAAUAGCCAAGCUAUGCUUCAACUUCAUAUACUUUUGGCUAAAAUGUGUAAUGCACUUUCAAUUCUCACUUUAGUGAAUAAACCAGAGGAUAGUUCUGAAUAUACUAUAACAUCGGAAAGGGAAACUAUAGUGCCAGCAAAAGAAGAAAAAAAAAAAGCUCCAGAUAGUGCCCUUCCUCCCUGUGGUGCAGAAGGGGUUAAAAAUCCCUUCUGCAUUUACCCGAGUCCAGCGCUGAUGUCUCUCUGCACUUACUCAGUUUCCGCCUGUGCUCCUCCCUCGCCAACAGCCACACUCGCCUUAGGACUUUCCCCAUAGAAAAGCAUUAUACAAUGCUUUCCUAUGGGGUUUUGGGUGACGCUGGAUGUCCUCAUGCCAAAAGUCUGGUAGACAGCCACUAGAGGUAGAGUUAACCCAUAAAGGUAAUUAUUGCAGUUAAAAGGAUCAUUAUAGUAUCAGGAAAACAAAGCGGAUUUCCUGACACUAUAGUGCCCUGAGAGUGCCCCUGCCCUCAGAGUCCCCCUCCCGUGGCGCUGAAGGGGUUAAAACCCCUUCAGCCACUUACCUUUGUCCUGUGCUGGGCUCCCUCGGUGCUGGUGACCUCUCCUCCCCCUGCCGACGUCGGCUCCCGACUGGAGUGGCAAGUGCCGCGCUCGCAUUUAAACAGUCCAUAGGAAAGCAUUUCUCAAUACUUUCCUAUGGACACUCUGCACCAUGGAUGUGAAAUUCGCAUCCAGCGUCGCAAAUGCGCCUCUAUCGGCUGUCAGGAAGACAGCCACUAGAGGAUGGCUUAACCCCUAAUGUAAACAUAGCAGUUCUUUGAAACUUAUGUUUACAGCUGCAGGGUUAAAACCUGAGGGACAUGGCACACAAACCACUUCAUUGAGCUGAAGUGGUCUGGGUGACUAUAGUGUCCUUUUAAUUAAAAACUGCAAUAAUUAUCUUUGCUUGGUUAUUGGAACUGGAAAUAUGCACCCAGAGCACUUCAAUGAGCUGAAGUGGUCUGGGUGCCUAUAGUGUCCCUUUAAGGGCCAAAUAUUUAACUUUGCCAUCAUCACAAUUUAGUCCUCAUAAAUCCUUAUGCACUAUCAAAUGUCCUGCUUAUUUUGUAUUUGUAACUAAUUAAAGACAAAUUUAGUGGGUCAUUUCAUUUUGAAAUAAGAUGUUUAAAUAGUGUUGUUAUAACAGACUGUCGCUUUUCAUUAAGAGGUUAAAGGAGCACUAUAGGGUCAUGAACCCAAACAUCCUGAUUCUAUAAUGUUAAAAACACUAUCUAACCCCCCUGGCUCCCUAAAUAUAGUAAAAUCUUACCUUUAUCCCAGUCUGCUGAUGGUGACUCUGCCCCUGAUCUACCUCCUUGUCUGACAUUAUCAAAAGUGAUCUCAACCAAUCAUAAAUUAAUUCAAUGCAUCUCUAUAAGGAUAUGCUGAUUGGCCAGGGUGGUGUUUAGCUGAGAUUAUCAAUUCUGAUUAUCUCAGCCAAGGAGGCUGGCUGGGGGCAGAGCUAAACACCACCCUGGCCAAUCAACAUCUCCUUAUAGAGAUGCAUUGAAUCAAUUUAUCUCUAUGAGGAAAGUUCAGUGUCUCCAUGCAGAGGGUAAAGACACUACAUGUCUGUGCAGAACUGCCCUAGAAAACACCUCUAGUAGCUAUCUGAGGAGUGGCCACUGGAAGUGUCCAUAGAGAGCAAUGUAAACCCUGCUUUUUUUUUUCUAAAAAGACAGUGCUACUGCAAAAAGCCUGCAGGGACUGACUAUACACACCAGAACAACUACAUUAAGCUGUAGUUGUUCUGGUUACUAUAGUGUCCCUUUAAAUCAGGGGUCCUCAAACUGUGGCCCUCCAGACGUUGCUGAACUACAACUCUGAUGAUUCUUUGAAUUACAUAGAUAGCCAGAGAAUCAUGGGAGUUGUAGUUCAGCAACAUCUGGGGGGCCGGAGUUUGAGGACCCCUGCUUUAUACAGUUUUAGCAGCAAAGCUGAAACAUAGCAGUUUUUUUCAUGGUAUUUGAACCUGUGCAGUGUAUUAGGGAAAACACUGCUGUCUAUAUAUGCAUGCUGGACAGGCUGUGAGGCAUUUGUGCUUUGUACUUCUAUAUUCUUGAAGGAUUCUUAAGUAGUUAAAUGUUUGUUUUUUAUUUCACAUAACAUAAAUGUUGCAAUGC